UACAUGGAGCUCUACUGAAAUUCGCCUCUUAGGGCUAAGAGCAGUGAAUUUGGAGGAGAUGGAAGAAGGCCAAAAAAAAAUAUUUGUUACGGAGGGGCUGUUGCUCUGUCAGUGUUCAGAAGGGUGGAUUUCAAGAGCAGAUGAGCAUCCUUCUGCGUAGCUAGAGCAUGAACUCAACCUUGGCAUUUGGGAUGCCAAGUUACAUAUGGCAGUUGAUCUCUUUUCAGGUGCUGAAAAACUACCUUUCCC